GCACGCCUAAAAACGCACAGGUUGUUGCAAGUUGAUAUCGACAGGCGUGAACAAUGCUGUGCGGCCAACUAUGAACAAGUUGUCAACCAUGUUGUUCCAAGUUGUUACAGUUGAACAAUGCUGUAACAACAUGUUGACAAUACUGUUCAUAGUGGGCCGCACAACCUUCUUCACGCCUGUCGAUAUCAACUUGGAACAAGUUGUUGAUUUUCUCAAUUUUUACGCGUGUACCGAAUUUUGAGUGUAAAUCGGCUUUUUCCGGCAGCUUCCGAUGAUUCGUCGAACGUGCGAAUCGCGUAUAAUCGUCCAUGAAUUAUUCUUUGUUUUUAUUUUGAAAAUAUUUCUAUAAAUCAAACUUCUUGUAUCUUGCAAUCUGUAUUCUGUGUAGAAUUUUAUCGGUGAGUAAUAUAUUCUCACUUUCAAUCAGUAAAUCGACAACGAUUUAUGCUCAAUAUAUGUGUUCAAUAUUUAAUAUAAUUACAAUAUUUGAUCAAUUAUAAAGACUAGCUUAUAAAAAUGUGUUGUAUUUUCAAAGGUUAUUUUAAUAUAACAAUGAUCCUCUUUUUUUCUUUUACAAAAGAUAUUAAAAUCAAUGCUCCAAUAUAUCCAAGAAUGACUGAAUCAG